rnacentral:rRNA from 1 species
GAUGAACGCUGGCGGCGUGCCUAACACAUGCAAGUCGAACGAAACUUCUCUACCACCGAGUGCUUGCAGUGACCGAAACGGGGGUGAGUCGCGAACGUAUGCGUAACACGAGGGCAACCUGCCCAAAAGAGGGGGAGAAUACUACGAAACAGGUGCUAAUACCGCAUAACCAUAGUUAGAGCAUGGCAACGAUGUAAAAGGUAGCUGUGCUACCGCAGUUGGAUGGGCGCGCGGCGGAUUAGCUAGUUGGUAGGGGAAAGGCUUACCAAGGCAAUGAUGCGUAGCCGAAUUGAGAGGAUGAUCGGCCACACUGGGACUGAGACACGGCCCAUACGCCUACGGGAGGCAGCAGUAGGGAAUCGUGCACAAUGGGCGAAAGCCUGAUGGAGCAACGCCGCGUGGGUGAAGAAGGUCUUCGGAUCGUAAAUCCCUGUUGUUAGGGAGGAAAGUGCGUGAGAGUAAGUGUUCACGUUUCGACGGUAUCUAACCAGAAAGCCACUGCUAACUUCGUG